rnacentral:rRNA from 1 species
AACGGCCGUACCAUGCUGAAUAUACCGGUUCUCGUUAGAUCACCGAAGUCAAGCAUCAUUGGGCGCCUCAGUACUUGGGUGGGUGACCACCUGGGAACACUGCGUGCC